rnacentral:rRNA from 1 species
UACGUAAGGUCCGAGCGUUGUCCGGAAUCAUUGGGCGUAAAGGGUACGUAGGCGGGUAAGCAAGUUAGAAGUGAAAUCCUAUAGCUCAACUAUAGUAAGCUUUUAAAACUGCUCAUCUUGAGGUAUGGAAGGGAAAGUGGAAUUCCUAGUGUAGCGGUGAAAUGCGCAGAUAUUAGGAGGCAUACCGGUGGCGAAGGCGACUUUCUGGCCAUAACCUGACGCUGAGGUACGGAAGCGUGGGUAGCAAACAGGAUUAGAUAC